rnacentral:rRNA from 1 species
UACGUAGGGACCAAGCGUUGUUCGGAUUUACUGGGCGUAAAGGGCGCGUAGGCGGUCUGCUAAGCGUGCGGUGAAAGCCUGGGGCUCAACCCCAGAUCUGCCGUGCGAACUGGUGGACUAGAGCACUGUAGAGGCAGGUGGAAUUUCGGGUGUAGCGGUGGAAUGCGUAGAGAUCCGAAAGAACACCGGUGGCGAAGGCGGCCUGCUGGGCAGUUGCUGACACUGAGGCGCGACAGCGUGGGGAGCAAACAGG